GUCUUGUUGAAUAAAAUAAUAAGUCUGGCCUGCUCAAUGUAAUAUAAAUGGCCGCGGUAUUUUGACCGUGCGAAGGUAGCAUAAUAAUUAGUCCAUUAAAUAUGGUCUGGAAUGAAGGGUUUGACAGGGAGUGUCUUUCUUAUUUUUAUGGUUGAAUUUUAAUUAUCAGUAAAAAUGCUGAUAUGAAUUGAAGGGACGAGAAGACCCUAUAGAGCUUUAUAUAAUGAUUAUAUUAGGUAGUGAAGGUGAGUAGUCAAAUAUUUUGCUGGGGCGGCAUGAGGUAUUAAACAUCUUAUAUAUUAUUUAUAAUUGUAAGACCUACGAUCCAUUAUUAAUGAUUAACAGAUUAAGUUACCUUAGGGAUAACAGCGUAAUUUUAUUUUAGAGUUCAUAUCGACAAUAAAGUUUGCGACCUCGAUGUUGGAUUACAAACCCCUUACAAGGUGUAGGAGUUUUAUAGGGUAGUCUGUUCGACUAUUAAAUUUGUACAUGAUCUGAG
rnacentral:rRNA from 1 species